CAGUCGCCGCGGUAAUACGUAGGUCCCGAGCGUUGUCCGGAUUUAUUGGGCGUAAAGGGAGCGCAGGCGGUUUAGUAAGUCUGAAGUUAAAGGCAUUGGCUCAACCAAUGUAUGCUUUGGAAACUGUUAGACUUGGGUGCAGAAGGGGAGAGUGGAAUUUCAUGUGUAGCGGUGAAAUGCGUAGAUAUAUGGAGGAACACCGGUGGCGAAAGCGGCUCUCUGGUCUGUCACUGACGCUGAGGCUCGAAAGCGUGGGUAGCGAACAGGAUUAGAUACCCCAGUAGUCCCUGUCUCUUAUACA
rnacentral:rRNA from 1 species